rnacentral:rRNA from 1 species
GUUUCAUUUAAAAUUUUUAUAGAAUUUUAUUUUUUAGUUAAAAAGCUAAAAUUAAUUCAAAAGACGAGAAGACCCUAUAAAUCUUAAUUAUUAAAUUAAUUUUAAUUAUUUUUGAUUAAUUUUGUUAUUAUUAUUUAAAUAAUUUUAUUGGGGUGAUAUUAAAAUUUAUAUAACUUUUAAUUAUUUUAUUUCAUUAAUUUAUGAAUAAAUGAUCCAUUUUUAGUGAUUAAAAAAUUAAGUUACUUUAGGGAUAACAGCGUAAUUUUUUUGGAGAGUUCUUAUCGAUAAAAAAGUUUGCGACCUCGAUGUUGGAUUAAGAUUCAUAUUUAAAUGCAGAAGUUUAAAUAUUAAGUCUGUUCGACUUUUAUUUCUUACAUGAUCUGAGUUCAAACCGGUGUAAGCCAGGUUGGUUUCUAUCUUUGAUUUUUUUAUAUAUUUUAGUACGAAAGGAAUAAAUAUAUAUUAUUUAAUAAUUAUUUUAUGAAU